UACGUUCUUAGAGAAUAGGGUGACUCUGACUCAUUUUAAUCAUAAUCCAUAAUGGCCUUUAUCUCAACAGUUACAAAAAUCUCAGGACUUUUACCAUCUAUUGGUAAUUGUUCUGGAAUAAGUGGUCUUAGGUGUUUGAGUACAUCAUUACAUCAUAAUGCGGCAGCUAAGAAGAAUCUAUCAAAACCAAAUGU